GAUAAACGCUGGCGGCGUGCCUAACACAUGCAAGUCGAACGAUCCCGCAAGGGAGAGUGGCGGAAGGGUGAGUAACACGUGGGAAUCUACCUCCUCGCAGGGAACAACCUCUCGAAAGAGAGGCUAAUACCCAAAAGGGUCAGUAAUGAUCAGAGUCGAAAGGCGUGAGGAGAGGAGCCCGCGGCCCAUCAGCUAGUUGGUGAGGUAAUGGCUUACCAAGGCUACGACGGGUAGGGGAUCUGAGAGGAUGUCCCCCACACUGGAACUGAAACACGGUCCAGACGCCUACGGGUGGCAGCAGUGAGGAAUAUUGGACAAUGGGCGAAAGCCCGACCAGCAACGCCGCGUGGAGGAUGAAGGCCUUCGGGUCGUAAACUUCUUUAGAGGGAGACGAGAAAGGACGGUAUCCCUAGAAUAAGCGACGGCAAACUACGUGCCAGCAGCCGCGGUAAU
rnacentral:rRNA from 1 species